GACGAACGCUGGCGGCGUGCCUAAUACAUGCAAGUUGAGCGCUGAAGGUUGGUACUUGUACCAACUGGAUGAGCAGCGAACGGGUGAGUAACGCGUGGGGAAUCUGCCUUUGAGCGGGGGACAACAUUUGGAAACGAAUGCUAAUACCGCAUAAAAACUUUAAACACAAGUUUUAAGUUUGAAAGAUGCAAUUGCAUCACUCAAAGAUGAUCCCGCGUUGUAUUAGCUAGUUGGUGAGGUAAAGGCUCACCAAGGCGAUGAUACAUAGCCGACCUGAGAGGGUGAUCGGCCACAUUGGGACUGGGACACGGCCCAAACUCCUACGGGAGGCAGCAGUAGGGAAUCUUCGGCAAUGGACGAAAGUCUGACCGAGCAACGCCGCGUGAGUGAAGAAGGUUUUCGGAUCGUAAAACUCUGUUGGUAGAGAAGAACGUUGGUGAGAGUGGAAAGCUCAUAAAGUGACGGUAACUACCCAGAAAGGGACGGCUAACUACGUG
rnacentral:rRNA from 1 species